rnacentral:lncRNA from 1 species
GAAGCAGAAGGUUCGGGUCCCGGCGACCCCGGGCCUGCGCCUCUGGAUACCGCUGGGCUGACAUGGCGGUGGCUGAACAGGGUUGCGCAACCGCGAACAGCCAAGGAAGCUGCUUUAUUUAAACCCAACUAACUUCCCCCGAAGCAGCGCCCCCUCGGGCCGCCGGGUAUGAGGACAAGCUCUGCUGGGGGUCAGCCCAGGGAGAGCAAGUUCUUAUCAUCAAAGAGAUUGCAAUCAGCACCAGAAGGAAUUUCCUUCAGUAAAUGGAGGAAUUGGGGUGGAAGAGCCAGAAGGUGCACGAGGAAUUGAAGCGGAUGUCAUCGCCCUCGUUGUUAGGGAGGGUACAACUGAGGCACGGUCUAUUUAAGAUACUCAACCAAAUCACAGCCGGCAGAGCAAUAAUUACAAUCCACUCUGUGGCGUUUUAUUCCAUGCGUUGGGGAAGGUGAGAGGUUCUAACCUAAGAAAACUCAUCCGUGUCCCACAAAACGGAGCAACUGGUACUUCCUCAUUCCCUGACUUUCUCCCCAAUAUCAGCCAACACUCAGUCUUCAUAAUUAGUCAAGUCUUUAAAUUAAAAUAAUUUUAGGCUUGAUUUUUAACCAUUAUGUCAGCGUCUCUUAAAGCCAACCCUUUGAACUUGAGCCAAAGCCAGCUUCUUUGGAAUUUUGGAUUCUGAGCGACCAAAGGCUGCCUAGACUGCCCCCCAUCACUUCCCUAGCUCCUGUUGCUGCAGAAUCCCGUGCCUAACAUCUAUUUCUUGGACAAUUUUCAAUCUUCCCUGUCCCC